ensembl:lncRNA
GUGUAAGUGGAUCAAGGAAAAUGACACAGACGGCAACCAAGUCCACUCAUGCUGGCCUGGUAUGCUAUCUGUUUAUUUAUAAUCUCUUCUGAUGCAUAGUAGCUUUCAUGACUGUAUCAAACAGAAGGUAAAUAUUCUAACUAAUUCUAGGGUAAUUGUUCAUGCAAAAUGUUUUGUGUGCUUUCUCCUCCAUUCAGAUUAUUAGCUAAAUAUCACGAAUUUUAGAUGUCACUGUAUGUGUUUCAUUAUUUAGCCUGAUGUUGCCUAACGUCUUACCACACGUGUGUGAAUUUUCAUCUGGUGCCAGUUUGGUAACGUCGUUAAUGGACAAUGACAACAUGAUACAUGCGCCACUUCAUGUGGAAACACAAAAUGGACUCUGAGUUUGUUUAGGGCAUUUUUCUCAACUUUAGAAGAAUUUCUCUCAAGUUUCCUUUUUGAGAUUCAGCUUUUCAAUAGUAGCUUUUAACUAAUGUCCAUAUGUAUCCAUUUGUUAACUCUCUCUUUUUUUUCUUUUUUUUUCUUUUAUCCUGCUGUUGAAGAUGACCACUGGUGAAGCUUGGUGAAAUCUACCUGACCUGACCACUGGUGAAGCCAUGCACUGAACACCCCCAGAACCCCCUUAACACUGUUUCGACUAUUUCCUGACAGUCUGAUAAUAAAAGAUUGUUAACACUGUUUUACCAUAUAAGUAGAGCUCUAUGUAUACGCUUUCUACGUAUGAAACUAAUGAUGAGAUACUCUGAUGCUUUAACACUUGUAUGCCUUGUGCCUGGGAAACACUAAUGCUGCUGUAUACCUGCUGUUAAAGUUCAUCUGUUCCUUUGUCUUAACCAUCCUAUUUCAAACACUCAGAAUGUGACUUAAAGAGUGUGAAGUUUGUUUCUGUUUUGGCAGAUGACUGUAUUUAUGUUUUGUCGACGGGUGGGAUUUCUGGGGAACCAUACUGUACAGCAGUUCCCAGGCAUUUUAAUGUUCUUGGAUUGGUGAGUUCCCAGAGUGAUGUUUCUAAUUCCAUGUCUGGUUGGAAAUGGCUAUGUUAUGAUUCUGGCACUUUUUUAGGUUGUAUUGAAGCAUGUAGAUGUGGGUCUGUGUGUGUGUCUUGACCUAAAGGUGAAAGGUGACCAAUGUUGAAGGGACUAAGUCCUGUUAGAUUAUGGUAUUGGUUGCAUGGGAGUUUACUAGUUUAGUGUAGGCUGUAAAUGACCAUGUCCUCUUCAUGUAAUGCAACCUCUAUGAGGAACUAACUCCACCUGGGUUCACAUAGUUCUCCACCUGGGUUCACUCUAUCUUGCCUGGAGUGUCAGAUUAACCCAGUGUUCAGUAACCCAGGCAAGCUUAUCUUAAAUAAGCUCAGAUGGUGUUAGAACCCUGGUAUUUAUGUAACUAACUGUGCAAUACAUUCCAUUUUCUCUUAACUUGAAAGGACCAAUAGUAGAAACUAUGGUAUUUGAAAAUACACUCAGUGGGCAGUUUAUUAGGGUACUCAUCUAUUUCAGAUUUUGACAUGUUAGCCUCCAGAACGGCCAUUAAGGGCCAGGGUUCUGCAAGGUGUUUGAGGAGUUCCACGGGGAUGUUGAUCUCUGCUUAUGCUUUGGCAUUGUGAUGAGGCAACUAGCCAGAAAAGGGAUGCACCUGGUAAGUGACAAUGUUCAGAUGCACUGUGGUGAUGUUCAAAUGUUGCUCAUUUGAUGUCAAGGGACAAUACAUGUGUCAAGAAAACAUUAUUCGCACCAGAACCCAACCGCCACCCAGCCGGUAUUGUUUACAUGGGGUAGAAUGGGUCAGUGGACUCGCUGCUUACGCCAACUCCUGACCACUUCCACAUGGCAUACCGGGAACCAGUAUUUGUCCUACUAAGCAAUAGUUUUCGGUCCUCAACUGUUCUGUUUGGGUGAUUGUGUGCUCACUGGAGCAGCAGCUACUUUAGCUGGAGAAAAGCUUUGUUUUUACCUGAUCGAAGGUAACCUGUUGUGGUCGUCCAUGAUCCAAACCAAUUUCCGUGUUCCAAACCUUUCCGAGAUCCGAGCGUUCUGCCACUGACUGCGUGCUUUUUGAUUCUCACACCGUCCUUGGUAAACCCAAGACAGUGUUGUGCUUGAACUCCAGGAUAUUGGCCAUCUCUGAAAUGCUCAAGUCAUACCACACUCAAUUGUGAAAGUCACUUGUUUAGCCUCUUCUAAUAUUCUGGAUGCCUGUCGGUAGGGCCUAUACAUUUUUUUGAACAGUGUGGUAUUACCUAAUAGACUGUCCACUGAAUCUAAAUGUACACAUUGUUUGUUCCACACUUUUGUCAUGCGUUCUGCAAAUUAUGGUAACAAUGGAAAACGUUGCUUAAUUUUUAUGAUAAAUGGAACAAAAUGCUUUCUUGUUGGACUAUUAAAUCCAGUCAGUCCUUCCCUGUUUUAGUCAAUUUCCUGUAUUUGGUGCGUAAUGAAAAUGAUACAGAUGUCUGUUUGUUCGACUGUCUAAUGUGAAAAACUAAAACUUUCACAUUCCUGUCUUUCUUAUAAUGAAUAUAUGUUUAAACCACUAAAUGUAUUGGUCCAGAUAUUUUAUUUAAGGUCGUCAGGAAAGGGGUAGAAACACAUUAAAAUGAUGAGUAUCAUCUAGAUCUGAAAGCGCUGAAAAAAGUAAUUAGAGCCUGAUAGCACUCUCGGUUUAGACUACUUUUCAAAAGUUUGGGGUCACUUGGAAAUUUCAUGAAAUCAAACAACAAAUGAGUUUGAGUAGGAAAUAUAGCAAAAUGAAUAGGAAAUAGUCAUUGACAAGGUUUGAAAUAAUUCUUACUUGUAAUAAUAAUUGUCCUUCAAACUUUAUCAUCAAGGGAUCCUCCAUAUGCAGCAAUUACAGACUUGCAUUCCUUUGGCCUUCUAGUGUUUAAUUUGUUGAGGAUAAUCUGAAGAGAUUUCACCCUUCAUGUGUUCUGAAGCGCCUCCCACAAGUUUGGUUGGCUUGGUGGGCAUUGCUUCCUGCUCCCACAACAUUAAAAGUCUGUUGUUCAGUUACAAUAGUCAUUUACAACACUAACAAUGUCUGCACUAUUUCUGAUCAAUUUGAUAUAAUUUCAUUGGACAAGAAUGUGCUUCUCUUUUGAAAAUGUCUAUGUGACCCCAAAGGUUUUAAUGGUAGUGUAACUAUUGUUCACUAAUUAUGGACACAAUUAUUGGGUAUUUAUGAAUAUAUUAUAAUUCAAAUGUGAGAACCAUGAUAUUGUAUUGCUCUGCUGUAUUUGUAAUUAGAAGAUAAAUCACAGACAUUUAUUUUACCACAGAUGUUUAAUUAUAUUUUAUUCAAAAAUGAUUUAUUGGUUUUUACUAACUGAUUUAUUUCUAUAUAGCUACUCCCUGUUAACGAAUAGCUUAUUUUUAAUGGGAUUUUGUUGUUUACCUUUGUCUUGGGAUGCAUGAGGGAUGAACUAUAUAGCAAAUAAAGAUGUAUUUAUUUUCAAUACA